AUGGUGACAACCACGCCACAUGAGGAUAAGGCAGACAUCCCUUUGCCUAGCAAUGCCCUGCUGGCCAACUAUCUUCCCAUGCAGCUCCUAGAGACUGCAGAAGAUAAAGAGAACUACAAAAAGUUUCAUGAGCAAUUCUCUAAAAACAUAAAGCUUAGAAUACAUGAUGACUCUCAAAAUCAGAAGAAGCUUUCAGAGCUAUUACAAUACUACACAUCUGCUUCUGGUGAUGAGACGGUUUCUCUCAAGGACUAUUGUACCAGAAUGAAGGAAAACCAGAAACAUAUCUGCUACAUCACAGGUGAGACCAAGGGCCAGGUAGGUAACUCAGCCUUCAUGCAAUGUCUUCGGAAGCAUGGCUUAGAAGUGAUCUAUAUGAUCGAGCCAAUUGAUGAGUACUGUGUCCAACAGCUGAAGGAAUUUGAGGGGAAAACUUUAGUGUCAGUCACCAAAGAAGGCUUGGAACUUCCAGAAGAUGAAGAAGAGAAACAGAAACAGGAAGAGAAGAAAACAAAGUUUGAAAACCUCUGCAAAAUCAUGGAAGACAUCUUGGAGAAAAAAGUUGAAAAGGUGGUUGUGUCAAACUGAUUGGUGACAAUCCCAUGCUGUAUUGUCACAUAUGACUGGAGAGCAAACAUGGAAAGAAUUAUGAAAGCUCAAGCCCUAAGAAACAACUAGACAAUGGGUUAUAUGGCAGUGAAGAAACACCUGGAGAUAAACCCUGACCAUUCCAUUACUGAGGCCUUAAGGCAAAAGGCACAGGCUGACAAGAAUGACAAGUCUGUGAAGGAUCUGGUCAUCUUGUUUUAUGAAACUGUACUCCUGUCUUCUGGCUUCAGUUUGGAAGAUCCCCAGACACAGGCUAAUAGGAUCUACAGGAUGAUCAAACUUGGUCCGGGUAUUGAUGAAGAUCACCCUACUGCUGAUGAUACCAAUGCUGCUGUAACUGAAGAGAUGCCACCUCUUGAAGGAGAUGGUGACACAUCACGCAUGGAAAAAGUAGACUAA